UACGAAGGGGGCUAGCGUUGUUCGGAAUUACUGGGCGUAAAGCGCACGUAGGCGGAUAUUUAAGUCAGGGGUGAAAUCCCAGAGCUCAACUCUGAACUGCCUUUGAUACUGGGUAUCUUGAGUAUGGAAGAGGUAAGUGGAAUUCCGAGUGUAGAGGUGAAAUUCGUAGAUAUUCGGAAGAACACCAGUGGCGAAGGCGACUUACUGGUCCAUGACUGACGCUGAGGCUCGAAAGCGUGGGGAGCAAACCAGG
rnacentral:rRNA from 1 species